rnacentral:rRNA from 1 species
AUUGAACGCUGGCGGCAGGCCUAACACAUGCAAGUCGAACGAGUGGCGGACGGGUGAGUAAUGUCUGGGAAACUGCCCGAUGGAGGGGGAUAACUACUGGAAACGGUAGCUAAUACCGCAUACCCUCGGAUGUGCCCAGAUGGGAUUAGCUUGUAGGUUAGGUAACGGCUAACCUAGGCGACGAUCCCUAGCUGGUCUGAGAGGAUGACCAGCCACACUGGAACUGAGACACGGUCCAGACUCCUACGGGAGGCAGCAGUGGGGAAUAGUGCACAAUGGGCGCAAGCCUGAUGCAGCCAUGCCGCGGGUAGGAAGAAGGCCUUCGGGUUGGAAAGUACUUUCAGCGGGGAGGCGUUACCCGCAGAAGAAGCACCGGCUAACUCCGUGCCAGCCGCCGCGGUAAUAC